GCUGAGCUAAGUAACGUGAGCUUGUAACCCAUGUGGGGGCAACAAGGUGAUGGAACAUGAUCGUGGCCUUCUGGGUCGGGUCUAUGGUUGGCUGAAUGCUGGCUCGCCCUAUCCAAGUUGGGAGUUGGCUCAUGUGGCUUGGGCGAAGGCCUUAAGCUUCAUGGGCCCUAAAGUGGAGGGUACUGCGUGAGGCUGGUUUCACAGAGCAACGAAAACCUCCCACUCUUGUCAGUGGAAGGAUAACGGGCUAGUGCCUCCUUGGCCCAUUAGUACCUAGUUGGCUGAUAUCUUAAAUGGACCAUCACUUUU
rnacentral:SRP_RNA from 1 species